rnacentral:Y_RNA from 1 species
GGUUGGUUCGAGCGCAGUGGUGUUUUACAACUAAUUGAUCGCAACCAGUUACAGAUUCCUUUGUUCCUUCUCCACUCCCACUGCUCCACUUGACCAGCCUUUA